UACGUAGGGUGCGAGCGUUAAUCGGAAUUACUGGGCGUAAAGCGUGCGCAGGCGGUGAUGUAAGACAGGUGUGAAAUCCCGGGGCUCAACCUCGGAACUGCAUUUGUGACUGCAUCGCUGGAGUGCGGAAGAGGGAAGCGGAAUUUCCGGUGUAGCGGUGAAAUGCGUUGAUAUCCUAAGGAACACCCGUGGCGAAAGCGGCUCACUGGGUCUCUUCUGACGCUGAGGCACGAAAGCUAGGGUAGCGAACGGG
rnacentral:rRNA from 1 species